rnacentral:rRNA from 1 species
CGAUGCAUCAUUCAAAUUUCUGCCCUAUCAACUUUGGAUGGUAGGAUAGAGGCCUACCAUGGUGGUAACGGGUAACGGGGAAUUAGGGUUUGAUUCCGGAGAGGGAGCCUGAGAAAUGGCUACCACAUCCAAGGAAGGCAGCAGCCGCGAAAAUUCCACCCUUGCAAUUCGCAGAUGGAGUGACAAGAAAUAACAAUCUGGGGCCCUAUGGGUUUCAGAAUUGGAAUGAGAACAACGUAAAUAGUUUUAACGAGAACCAAUUGGAGGGCAAGUCUGGUGCCAGCAGCCGCGGUAAUUCCAGCUCCAAUAGCGUAUACUAAAGUUGCUGCGGUUAAAAAGCUCGUAGUUGAACCUCAGGGGUGUACAUUUGGUUUACCUGCACUGCAGGCCAAACUGAGUGUAUGCUUCUUCUAACGGAGUGGGCAUUCUGCACUUAACUGGGUGGGGUGUUUGUUUCGAAAGUUUACUUUGAGAAAAUUAGAGUGUUCAAAGCAGGCGAAAGCCAUGAAUAUAUUAGCAUGGAAUAAUGGAAUAGGACUUUGGUUCUAUUUUGUUGGUUUCUAGGACUGAAGUAAUGAUUAAUAGGGAUAGUUGGGGGCAUUAGUAUUUCAUAGUCAGAGGUGAAAUUCAUGGAUUUAUGAAAGACUAACUACUGCGAAAGCAUUUGCCAAGGAUGUUUUCAUUAAUCAAGAACGAAAGUUUGGGGAUCGAAGACGAUCAGAUACCGUCGUAGUCCAAACCAUAAACUAUGCCGACUCGGGAUUGGAGGGCGUACAUUUAAUGACCCCUUCAGCACCGUAAGAGAAAUCAAAGUUUUUGGGUUCCGGGGGGAGUAUGGUCGCAAGGCUGAAACUUAAAGGAAUUGACGGAAGGGCACCACCAGGAGUGGAGCUUGCGGCUUAAUUCAACCCAACACGGGGAAACUUACCAGGUCCAGACACGGUAAGGAUUGACAGAUUGAGAGCUCUUUCUUGAUUCCGUGAGUGGUGGUGCAUGGCCGUUCUUAGUUGGUGGAGUGAUUUGUCUGCUUAAUUGCGUUAACGAACGAGACCUUAGCCUGCUAAAUAGUUACAUGAACCCAUUAGGUUUCAUGGCCAACUUCUUAGAGGGACUAUCGGUGUCUAACCGGAGGAAGCUUGAGGCAAUAACAGGUCUGUGAUGCCCUUAGAUGUUCUGGGCCGCACGCGCGCUACACUGAUGAAGUCAACGAGUAUUAUUUCCUUGGCCGACAGGUCUGGGUAAUCUUCUGAAACUUCAUCGUGCUGGGGAUUGACCUUUGCAAUUAUGGGUCAUCAACGAGGAAUUCCUAGUAAGCGUAAGUCAUCACCUUACGUUGAUUACGUCCCUGCCCUUUGUACACACCGCCCGUCGCUCCUACCGAUUGAAUCGUUCGGUGAAAACUUCGGACUAUGCUUUGCAGCUGGGCAACCGGCCGCGAUGUUGUAGGAAGUUGUUUGAACCUACCGAUUUAGAGGAAGGAGAAGUCGUAACAAGGUU